UACGUAGGGGGCAAGCGUUGUCCGGAAUCAUUGGGCGUAAAGAGCGCGUAGGCGGCCCAGUAAGUCCGCUCUGAAAGUCAGGGGCUCAACCCCUGAAUGCGGGUGGAUACUGCUGGGCUAGAGUCCGGAAGAGUCGAGUGGAAUUCCUGGUGUAGCGGUGAAAUGCGCAGAUAUCAGGAGGAACACCAAUGGCGAAGGCAGCUCGCUGGGACGGUACUGACGCUGAGGCGCGAAAGCGUGGGGAGCAAACAGG
rnacentral:rRNA from 1 species